AGACUAUUAGUUCAGAGGCUAGAAUGCUUGCUUGUCACGCAAGAGGUCACGGGUUCGAGUCCCGUAUAGUCUG
rnacentral:tRNA from 1 species